rnacentral:rRNA from 1 species
GAUGAACGCUGGCGGCGUGCCUAAUACAUGCAAGUCGAACGCUGGAAAUCUAGCUUGCUCGAUUGAAGGAGUGGCGAACGGGUGAGUAAUACAUAAGCAACCUACCCACGAAGACUGGGAUAAUCUCUGGAAACGGGGACUAAUACCGGAUAGGUAAUCGGAAGGCAUCUUCUGAUUAUUAAAGGUUAAAAACACUGGUGGAUGGGCUUAUGGCGCAUUAGUUAGUUGGUGAGGUAACGGCCCACCAAGACGAUGAUGCGUAGCCGGCCUGAGAGGGUGAACGGCCACAUUGGGACUGAGACACGGCCCAGACUCCUACGGGAGGCAGCAGUAGGGAAUUUUCGGCAAUGGGGGAAACCCUGACCGAGCAACGCCGCGUGAGUGAGGACGGCCUUCGGGGUGUAAAGCUCUGUUGUAAGGGAAGAACGGUAGAUAGAGAAUAUCUAAAUGACGGUACCUUACCAGAAAGCCACGGCUAACUACGUG